rnacentral:rRNA from 1 species
UGCCAGCCGCCGCGGUAAUACGGAGGGGGCGAGCGUUGUUCGGAAUUACUGGGCGUAAAGCGCGCGUAGGCGGAUUGGUCAGUUGGGGGUGAAAUCCCGAGGUCCAAUCUCGGAACUGCCCUCAAUACUGCCAGUCUAGAGUUCGGAAGAGGUAAGUGGAAUUCCUGGUGUAGAGGUGAAAUUCGUAGAUAUCAGGAGGAACACCGAUGGCGAAGGCAUCUCUCUGGGCCGAUAUUGACGCUGAGGCGCGAAGGCGUGGGUAGCGAACGGGAUUAGAUA